UGUUUAAAUAAAAAAAAAACGAAAGAGACGGACGGAUUGCGGUUGACUCACCUUCAUGUCUAGGUGGAUGAUGCUCCGGCUGUGAAUGUACUCCAUGCCCUCGCAGAUCUGCCGCAUGAAGACGGCGCACGCUUUCUCCGUCAGCACGAAAUCGUCGUCAAUGACGCGCUCGAACAGCUCGCCACCUUGAAUGCUGCAAGUGCAGAGGGGUGACAUGAGCGCUAGAUGAGUGGCUAUGGUGGUAGCGGGAGACCUGGCAGACGUGUGGGGCCGCACGUUCCGUGCGAAGGUCACACCAUUCCGAAUGGGGCAUGACGGCGGGGACUCACCCGCCACCCGAAGGACGCGAGACCAACAAAACACUCGCACACGGGCAUACUUACAGCUCGAGGAUGACGUAGAACUUGUUCUCGUAGUCGAACGCAUCGUACAGCUGGAUCAGCCGGGGAUGGUGCAGGCAGCUCAUGAUGUCGAUCUCGCGCACCAUGUCGCCCCGGUCCUUCUUCUUCUUGUAGGGGAUAAUCUUGGCCGCCAGCUCUAGCCCGGUCGCCUUCUCGCGGCAGUGAAACACCGUGCCGAAGGUGCCGCGCCCGAGCUCGGGCAGUAUCUCGAACUGCUGCUUCGGGUCGACGUCCAGCUUGAGCUGCACCUCCCGGAACGGGAAGGAUGGUGCGAGGUCUGUUUGGGGGGAGGAAAGAGGAGAGAAAGAGUGAGUGAGGAGAAGCAUUUGUUUAGCCAUUUUGUAUUUGUGUGUCGGGCAGCGAAAAAAGGGCCAACACGUGGAGACCGUGGCAACCUUGGACUGGACAAGUCAAUGAAAAUAAGACACGGUGGCGGCGGCGGUGGCGGUGGCAGUGUUGGUUUGUUUACUUGGAAAACACACACACGGAUCGCGGUAAAAGUGGAUGAUUUUCUCUCCUCGUUGACGCUUUGUCUAGGUGCGUCUCGCACAGUUCGUUCGGUGUGGUGAGACGUAGUUUCUAAAAGUUGUUAUUAGAUUUAUCUACAUGUGUUUUUGUUGUUGUUGUUGUUGUUUGAUUUCGAUGGGAAAGGGGAAAAGUAGGAUUUUUCUUUUUGGCACUAACGAUCUACGCGAUCUUACUACUUGCGUUAUAUGAGAUUUAUGUGAAAAUCCGAAUCCGAUUCUUAUUGGAUUCUAUUGGAUUGGCAUCCCUGGGGCAACAAACGUAUGUCUCUGCUACUGAAACAGUAUUUGUGUGGAGAUGUCACUGUUGAACUUCAUGAUAGAAAUAAGAGAUUCAAACAACAAUCAAAUUGCCACUACAAACGUUUGUUCGUGCAGUUCAUCUCUUUCAUGCAUUUCAAACAGGAAUUGUGAGGAUCUUUCUUUGUAUUUGCCUUUCUAUUCCAGAUUUGAGGACAAUAAUACACACACUCCAAGAUGUAAUCCCUCACUUCUCACUGUGGCAAACUCCCAAAACUCCUUAAUGGACGAGACCUUCGAUAUUUUCCAUUCCAUUUAAGCAUAAACGAAGUGAUAUUGAAUUUGGAAGAAUUUACCGUACAACGUUGUACACAUGUUUCCAAAACUUGUUGUUCGAUGUAUGACGUGAAUUAGUCGCUUUGUACUCCAAAGCUUAAGCUGAUCAUCUGGAACAACGAUUGCGCGCCUUCAAAAUGUUCCUUUGCCACUUUAAACGUAUGAAACUGCUUAGUCACGGGUUUCACUUUAGACUGCUUGAGAACCAAUAACGCUUCUUGUUAAGAAAGAUCUUCCAUCCUCUCUCAAAGAAAGUUGAUACUGUUACUGAACACCCCCAAAUCAUUCACAGAACUUCACAUCAAAUAUCUGCCUUUACUCACACCGCGGUUUGCACAAGCUCCACACUCUCGCAACGUCCAUGCUGAACUGAUUUCCAUUCGCUGCGACUUUUCGCAACCGACUGAAAUCAGAGACACACGAACGCGAUCGUACCUCACGCUCCCAGCAAACCCAUCCCGCAUCGAAUCGCGCUUAAUUGGAGGUAGAAUCCACACCUCGGAAUUGCGAUCCACACCUUUCCUCACACACACACACACACACACACACACACCCACUGUUUCGAAUCACGCUUCAUAUUUCGUCCUUUGGCCUCUCGGCGCCAUUGACCGUGGCCGCAGCAGCUACGUUCAGCCCCGGCUGGUUCGGUGCUGCUCCUCCGUGUUAGUGUCGUGUGUGUGUGUGUUUACUGAUGCUGAUGCGUUGUGACAGGACUGGCCUGCUCUGCCUCCAAAGCGCGCGAUCGUCGUGCCCCCCCCCCUGCCCCACGUGGGGAGUGUUUUGUUGAACCUUGUGAAAUCGGGUCGGACAUUUAUGUCGCUUUCGCACCCGCCCCCGGGAUCCCGCCCAGUUGACCGUGACAGGCCAGAAGGGACCGGUGAUGGUACAAAACAAUAAGAGGAGAGUCAACGGUGAACCAAACGGCGACUGCGAGAGUCAGAGGACACCGUUGCCGUUCGAGCGUGAGGCCAUUUAUUCCGCACUAUCUCCAAAACAUAAAAGAACGUCUGUUGGCUUUGCAUUUCUGGGGACGUCUUCUGGGUGCGAGAGAAGAAGGGGAGCGUGGGAGAGAGAGAUCGUGGUCCAAUAAAUCAAAUCAAUUAGGGAAUUAAAGCGUGACGGUGCUCUGUUUCUGCUUGGCAUCGGUUGGCAGGGUGUGUGGUUUUUCGUUCUACCGUGACCAAUGUCUGCGGUACGGUGAAAUGGGGUUUUCGUGAGCUCUAAACCCUGUUCUCAAAAAGCGCGUCGCAUCGUUGCACGUUUUCGUUACUUGAACUAAAAUAGUGUGAAAGACCCUAAGAUCAUCAUCAUAAUAUUUGGUAGAGCAAUCAAUUUUUGCAACCAACAACACACGAUCAGUGAAAUGUGAUUUUUAUUGCCAAAACAAACGAUCUUAAUCCCAUAACAAACCUUCGUCGUAUAAAGUGAAGCGUGCUGCGUGGUUGUAAGUAAUAUCGUUUCACUUCCAUUAUACAACCUCCAAAAAAAAAACAACAGCAAGGGAUAAUCAUUUGGUUGAACGCUGAUGGAAUUAGUGAUGUACUCUCUGGAGCGCACCUACGGCUCCGGCCCGACUCCGGCUAUCGUUAGUGGUGUUGGGGGAUUCAGGAUUCGUAAGAUUCAAAGAUUCAAUCCUUAGAAUGAUUCAAUCGGAUCGGAUCCCAUUUGUAGGAUUUGAAUCCCUAAAAGAUUCCUUUGCGAAUGGGAUUUGAUUGCGACUCGAUUGGGAUUGCGAUUCGAUGGGGAUUCAAUGGGGAUUCUGAUUGGGAUUGCGAUUCGAUGGGGAUUCUGAUUGCGAUUGAGCUUGCGAUUGAAAUUAGAGGCUGUCCCCGAAAUACGCUAUUAAUGGGGGUCGAGAGAAAUCACCGAUCUCUAAUUUCGGAAGUCGAAUCACGCAGUUUUCAGUCAAAAUAUAGCAUGUAAUGAAACAUUUAAUGAGAAGUUUUUGUCACUAAAUAAAUUAUUCGAUUUAAUAUUGAAUGAAGGUCCGCGUAUCUCGGGGACCUGUACUAAUUAUGAUGUAAGUACUGUAAAGUUAAAUAAUUAAGAGUAAAUCCCCCUCCAGGAUUGGGAUUCGAAGAUUCGAAUCCCUUCUGAGAUUCAUUUUUCCCAUCACUAAUUGGUAGUUCGAUUCCAACAUCGGCAAAAUGGGAACCACUAGCUCCACCCAGAAUCGGAAUCGUCCGGAAUCAGAGUCGUCCAGAGUAGGAGUCGUCCGGAGUCGUCCGAAGUCGCCCGGAAUCGGAAUCGAUCGUCCGAAGACGAUCGGUGUAAUGUUUUUGUGGUCAGGCAUUUCAUUUCGUGGCGUUUUUUCCUCUUUCACUUUGCGUGUGCACUUCCUAAGUAGGUCUUGCUUUCUAAGACUGGAAGGUUUUACGAUACUAGCCAACUGCUUCAUAUGGAAGUUGACAGUUGGGGGCUGUAAUCAUGUCAACACUCCAUACUAAACCACAAGCAAAGUGCACGCAAAUUUCAACUCAUUUUAUACAGUAAAAAGAAAACAAAACGAUUUAAAAAUGCAUCAUUGUUUGUACACAAAUGGUGAAAUCCAAUAUGGCGGAUCGUAAUUUUGAAAUGGAUACAACCCGCAUGAUGAAUAUUGUUCCAUCGACAGGCUGAAAUUUCAGCUUUCUGGCUUACAAUAUGGAAGAGGCCACUACCGUUUUGUGCCCACCGGGGUCAGAGUUCGCUUUUCGCGUGCACUUCAUAUAGAGGCCUUUGUUUCGAAGGCCGACACCGGACGUCUUCGUACAACUCCGACUACGGCUUACUCCGGGCGACUUCGACUCCAGACGUCUCCGACUCUGACCAACUCCGGGCGAUUCCAGGCGUCUUCAAUUGACUCCAUAACGGCUGGGGAUAAUGCCACCGGAGUCUGUUCCGAAAUUGUCGGAGCCGUAUCGUAGUUUGGCCAACUUUACCCAUCACUAGAGGGAACACGUGUCCCCAUCCCCGUGAAAGGAUUGUUUAGCUCAGCUGUUCCACCAGCCGCACAGUUUGUAGCAUCGCCAAGACGAUGAGACACCAUUUGUUGGUAGGAAUUUUCCGCACACACACACAUACAGACGGCCAGCAGUGGCAGGUACAGCUUCACACACAGCAGCAACACCACCAAACAACCAUUCAAAAACGCGACUAGCGGGUUUGCAUUGCGGGCGGGUGUAAAUAAAUGUUAAAUUAUUGUUCUACCGAAACAGCGCCGCAAACCGAACAGAGCUCUCGAUGGCGUCGUUCUUUUCCUUUCCGCCGUUCCUUUCCGCACGAACAACGGCAGCCACAUAAAAAUAGACGCCACGGUUCAAUCGGUGACACGCGUGGAGUUUUGAAUUCGCUGAAAUUUACCCACACCGGCCUGUCGGGCCUCGUUGCCAUCCCUCUGCGAUGCCGAUUGUGUGUGCGCGAAAGAAUCGGCAAUCGCCAAGCGUUGUUCACAAUCGAGCUAGUAAAGCAGAGAGUAGAAGGAACCGUCGAAGAGUUCAAGAGCAAAAUGUGCGUUCGUUAGGUGGGAAAGAUUCACGGUGAUUUUAGCGGUUUAAUGCCGGAAAAAAGAUACGAGAGGACCUUCUUAAGUUACAGUCGUUUGAUAGCGCAAUUUGAGAUCCUGUUCGAGAAAGAUCGCGAUGUAAGAUCGAGGUAUUUGAAGAAAGAGAUAUGGGUUUAUUUUUGCUUAUGAUCGCAAAACGACAAAGAUAAGCGCAAAGAUUAGUACAGAACGACUUAUUUUGAGCAUUUAGCAUCCUUUGUCGAUCAACAAGAAGAUUCAAAUAUGGAUGGAAUAUGUCAUAAAAGCUUGUUUGUGUUGAUAGGACCACUUAAACCUAAAGGGAAUAAGUAUUUUACUACUAAUUACAUUGUCCUUUGCUUAAGCAAUGCUAUGGCUGGGUUUGUAGAGCUGAAACUGUAACAAAACGAUCAUUUCACCCACUGACUAUUCUCCUUUGAUUUGUAGUUAAUUUUAAUAACUAACACUCGUACAGAAACAUGUAUGAUAACGGCCCCAGCCUUCUAACGCUACAUUGUCUGUUAGGAACAGCUCAGCGUAUUCCCUAUACCCGUUCACACACACCAAUACCUGUUCAGCGACGCUCAGUGGUGGUUUUUCUGGGUUCGAUGGUUCUAUUUUCGGCAUUGACCACUUUGGCCCCACCACCACACUAGCGAACGAUUGUGUCCGGCUGACACGAUAUGAUCUAACCAGCCAGCAGCAGCAGCAGCCAGGAACAGCUGGCCCGCAAACAGCGCGGCUUUUCGAGGAUGAUAAACCGUCCGGAUCAGCAAUCACUUUCUCCGUUGGUGGAGGAAUGCGUCUACCGAUGGAACCGUGCUUUUUUGAUGGCAUGUCACAUAAAAAUUUGUAUCUCUUUCCCCUGUGUGUGUGUGUGUGUGUGAGGGCAUGGAGAAGGAAGUAUCAAUUUGAAGCGUUCAAGCGUUUCCGUUCCACACGCCCGGACCGCAACCACAUCUGGUCGCUGAGGCGGACAUCUGGAGGGAAGCCCGGCCCGGUGAUGCCGCGUGACAAAAUCCCUCUCACGCCUCACUGUAAUGGUGUGUGUGUGUCUGUUUUUUAUGGAUUUUUGUUUUUUCUUCUGUUUUUUUUUAGCUCGAUCGUGUGGCCAAACACCCAGCCAAACAGGAAAUGUUCUUGUCAAUCUCUUCGAUCUGUGCAGCCCCAACCGCAUCAGCGUCCCAGCGUUUGGCGUUCCAUCGGGCCGUGGCUUUGGCACCGGUUUCAUCGCCAACAGUCGCCAAAUUCGGCACACAUGUGUGGAGGAGCGUGUUUGUGUGCGUGUGUGUGUUCCCUAGUACAUCGAACACAGCCCUUACUGCACAAUUUACUCUGUUUUUCGGCACCAAAUUUUGGGACAUCAUAUUCACUCGGCUGGUGGUACGUACGCAGAGGGUAAAAGAUCAAGUGCAAGGCAGUACGUUGAUCCAUUGUCGACCGAGGGGCAAAUGGCGAUGGCGACCACGGUACCGAUGGGAAGCGGCCAAAGUCGUUCACUUCUGAGUCGCUGUGACUUGACUGACCAAGCGGCGAUGGUAAUUAGUCGUAAAAUUCGUUAAAUCUUUCCCGCGCCUGUGCGUCUUACGGUGCCGGCCAGUGCCAGUGCCAGUGGCAAGAAACAUUAUUCCGAACACGUACGUUACGUGCACUUUGUGUGUUUGUGUGUGUGUUCGGUGCGGUGCCAAAUUUGUUUUAGCGAGCGAUUCAUCAACAUAAACAUAAAGCGGGGCCUGUGAAUGUUAAGGUUAAGUAAAAUGGAUUGUUUGAGUGGGAGAGGGGGAAAGGGAGAUAACCUGAUGCGGAAAGGGUUUAAAUAUUCACGUGUGUUUGCGUGCGCAAUAGCAUGCAUUAUGACGCGGAGGUACUUUCAAAGAUAAGAUUAAAGCCUGCAAUAAAGGAGAGUCUUCACUGUAAGUUUAGUUCAACUGUGUCAUAUUUGUAGCUCUCUCGAACUUUAUCGUUCUUAAUGUACCUUAAAUUACAUCAGCAGGACGGAUUCAAGUGAUUUAUACUUGCGAUUAAAUAAGUCGCGAUCGUAUUACAGGGUUUUCCACGAUUCAUUGUUUAUUUCCCGUAAUUUGUUGAGUCCGUCUCACGAUGAAUUCGCCGCUUCCUAUAUUUAUUUGAAUCGUAGCAUUAGAUAGCAAUACAAUUAAACCAAAAAUAAUGGGAAUGAUUCAAACAACUUUGGGAAGCUUCCACAAAUUUUCCGGAAAUAGUCAAUAAGUCUUGGGAAUUCCUUCAUUGUUUUAAGAUUUGUUCUACGUCCGUCAUACGGUUUGCACUAGUGAUCGGGAAAGUUGGCAAACAUGUAGAGUUUUGGAACGUUUUGAAACCAACUGCGGAAGCAUUAUCCGGACCUUUUAGAAAUCGCCUGGAAUCGUCCGGAAUCAUCCAGAGUCGUCCAGAGUCGUCCGGAGUCAUCCAGAGUCGAUAGGAUUCGUCGGGAGCCGGCAAUAGUCGCCCGUAGAGUCGUCUAGAGUGGGCCGGAGACUGCCGGUGUAAUGUUUUUUAGUUAGCCACAAACACAUUGCACCGGCAUGUCUUCGUCGGACUCUAGGCGAGCUCAAAUGUCUCCGACUCUGUCUCUGGACGACUCCGAUUCCGGGUGGAACUUUGGGUUCCAAUUUUGCCGUAGUUGGAAUCGGGCUUACAAAUAGCCGGAGUCGGAACGGAGUCGUCCGGAGUCGCGGAGCGAUCAAACUACUAUUUUGCACGCUGUAUUGUAUUUGCAUGUAAUGUGUAUGUAUUGGUUUAUCUGCCCAUGGGGGUGUUCGAUAUAACGCGUAAACAACCUUUGUUAUCCAAAAUUUUCCAACUGUUAACAAAAUUUCAAGAAACAACUCCAUACUUAAGUAACAUAAGCAUCAUUAUUAUCAAAGUUUAUUGUGAAGGAACUAAACCAUAAAACAUUCCAAUCAGACCGUACAAAGAUAAAGUACAAUUGGAUAUUACAGCGCUACUCCAAUAAGUGCUUUCUUAUUGUAUGUAUUCUUGUAUAUAUGACAUCUCUUUUCCUACUGCUGCAUUCCCAUAUUAAAUUAAACGUAAUUUAAUCCCAAAAAUUUAUUCAACUUUGAGAUACUAAAAUUUAAAAUAUUCAUUAAACCCCUAUGACCUCUGCACAACAGUGCACAAUGAGCAAGAGAUUGGCUUGCCUUCAUAAUUAGCCGUACCGUUUUUCUCACUCGACCUGAUUUAGCUUAAUUCUUCACAUUUCCUCUUUCUCUACCCUCAAAAAAUUCGAUGAAUGUUUUAGUGCCCCUUUUUUAAUGAACCCUUUUUCAACCCACUCUCAGGACGCUCUCGAAACAAUUGCUUUCAUUCGCACCUUGCUUCCGGCGUGUGGCUUACCUGUUCCCUUACAAAUAGUGCCUUUUAGUCCCGCAGUCGAAAUGGCGCAAUCCGAACAAAAUGUUUCCCCACACCUUCCCGCGCUGCCAAGAUAUUCCCCGCGGGUGCCAGACAAACGCUCGAGUGUGUUUGAUUUAUGUCUCGGUGACCUUCACGAUUUAUAACGCUACUGUCGCGAUCUGUCGCGCCGCGAGGCCAUCCAUUAGCGAUCGUUCGUAGUGGUGGUGGUGGUGGUAGAAUCAAGAAUGAGUUAAGGCGGAGAGAGAACCACUCACAGAGAGCGUGAGAGAGAAUUAUAACAUAAGAUUUUACUUGAAUUUUUAAUGUGUCAGCUUGGUAAAAUAGUUUCCAUUACAAACAGUUUUCCGAAAUUAUUCUUAUUCAGGUUCAGGUUUGAUUUGUUUGCAAGGAUGAUUCGUGCACCUCAGUUUAUCACCUUUGGUACGGUCGUUGGCUGGUUGUUCAGCCGUUGGCUGCGAGGUUUCUGUCGGCUGAUCGGUCCCAUCUGGCACCGAUCACCGUCCGGGCAGGCAAGCGAACGUGCGGCACUGUUUGUGUUUGUGGUGUCUUGUUGUGCCCUCCGUCGGGCGCGCCUGCCUGUGUCUGUGUGUUGGUUGUAUCGUGUACCAGCUACCGGGCGUCUCCAUUGAAUUUGCGCCACACAGCAGGCGUGGCGUUGCUUUUCCUGCGCCACACAUGAACCACCUUGACAUCCGCGUUUACGAGCAUCAGUUGUGUGCCCUGACCUUGGCGUUUUGUCGGGGCUGCGUUUUGUGUUAUGGUUUGCGGGUUAUGUUGGUUACCCCUCACCGGGGCACAAUGGGAGUGAACGGAAUGCUUUCCCUUUUUCUUGUUUGUUGAGGGUCUAAGCAGAAACCUCGACGCAAGGUGAGGUUAUUAGCAAAUGUUCGCACUCAGCGGUAUGCGGUGCUAAUGCCAUGUCGCAUUACAUACGCGGGAAUAGUUAUUUAUUUCCCACGGCACGGUUCGUUUUCUGUUCUGUCGUUUAGUAGAUAUUUUAGCAUUAUGCAAUGAGGGUUUUGUGUUGGACCAGGAUGGUGUAAACAACGCCAUUCGGUGAAUGAGUUAGAAAGGCAAAUGGGCAUUUUUAUUUUCACCAUUCAUUCACACUUUCGAUCGUUUGAUCGUUCGUUUGAGCGAUCGUUUUGAGGCCUCGUAGUGUUGUUGAACUCACUGUAGGAUCACGUUUUAAGUAGCUUCCAUAUAGAUGAAAUUUCCUUUCACAAAUACAUACGUUAGUAAGAAAAGAAAACAACAGCUUAACCUCUCUAUCUAGCUUCCGAACCUAUCUCCAUUAGCAUGCAAUUGGCUACCAAAUAUUUGCAUUCAUAUUACUGGCUGUUUUGCUGUACUAUUUGUUACUUUUUCCACGAAACAAUAACAUAAAGUUUAUUUCUUUGUGCUCCUUUUAGCAAACGGAUGGUCGCAAUGAUUUUAAAAUAGAAAUUAGACUGUUACUACCAAGAAAAGCGGGUUGAAUGGAUUUUAUUUUGUUUUCAUUUUGAUUGUUGCACGUUGCAUUGUCACUUCAUACCAUCUAUCAGUCGUAUUGCCUUCGAGUUUCAGUGCGCUUUUGCUAUACCAAAACAACGACCGAAUCUCAAAUGUGUAUUCAUUUGACAAAAAAAAACAACCGAAAAGUCAGUAAAUUUUCCUUCAAACGUCUUUCUUCAUUCCGCUAAAAGUGAAUGUUUGCCAAUAAAAAACAAAAUAAAAAAAGCACCACAAUAAUUAUAAAAUCUCUUAAGCUUCCCGCUCAUCCCAAACCUUUCCACUGUCACGCCAUCGUACCGUUGGGAGGGCGAACGAACGCACGCAAAUGACGCGAACGCAUAUUGGCAGGCGUCACACACCGGCCAGAUGUUAUCGCCCAUUUCGUCGGCAUGCGACGAUACACAAAAACGGGGAAAGCAAAACCAAAGCCACAAAAAAAAAAAAAGAAAAACACAGAAACAAGCAGCCGAGCCCGAGACGCUGCUGCACCAUGCCCCCAAAAUGCUUCAAUCGGGUAGCGGGAUCAUCACAACAAUGCACACGCCGUUGCGGGAUUCCUUGCGCACUGGCGUGAUGUGAUGAUGCUUGGCCCCGGGACCCGCCGUCUGCCAAAUGCUGGCCCGACUGACUGCUGCAUACGAAUUGGCACGGGUUUUGUGUUUUGGAGAUGCUAGCCGGCACGGAGGAGGAGAUUGAAGAAGAUUCCGUUGCCGAUGUUUGCGAUUGGGGUGCGAUUUAUUUGGUGCGUAUCGAAAGACGAUCAUCGUUAUUUGCGGGGUUUGGGCCCGAACGGACGGCAGUAAAACCCGGCACUGUCUGAUCGGGGAAUGGGAUUAGAUGUUUUUAGUGGUUCGUGCAGUUAAUUGGAGCGGAUGGUCUGAUCGCUUGGCGGCAGAAGAGCGUUUGGAGGGAAAUUAGGUUGUUGUUGAGUGUCUGGGAGCGUUUGGUUGAGGUUUUUAGAAUAACGUUAUUUAAAUAAGUUUAUUGUAGCCGUGUUAUAAAAGGCUAUAUUGUUUAAGCUUUAUAGGAAACGUUUGUAGUAUAGGUUUGAUUUUUUACAUACAGUGAAUUAGGAGCGAUUAGUGUAUCAAUGUUUCAGAAUUAUCGAUGGAUUUAUGCACACUAGGCGCCUCCAUCUGUUACAGUCAUCCACAACCGAAAAAGACAAAUAAUAAUUUACUAGAGAAACAAAAACUUAUUGAUUGACUUAUAAACGGCUUGCUGAAGCGUGGUUAUGUUUAUAGAAUCCCGUACAAUGCGUUUGACGUUUCGUAUCGAUCAUCUCAUCAACUACACCACGUGUCGAGGCAGGAAAAUGUUUAGCUUUGCCUGUCUUCGCUCGAGGUAUGUUCGUUUCUUUCACACACACACGCGCGCAAACACUCCCCCCUUCGAAUGGUCAUGUAGCAACAAAUCUCUGCUAAUCCCGGGUAUCAAUUAUCACGUCCACGCACACUUUGCAGACGGAUCAACCGGGCGAGGGCAGUGCCUUAUCUUCCUUAUUUUCGUGCAAAGUGGCGAACGUUCGCUUUAUCGUUCUCUCUCGUGUGUAUGUGUGUGUGUGUGUGUGUGGUGGAUCUUCCCGGUCUUGUCAUGCAACGCUAGCUUGUACACGAAACGUGCCGUUUCAACAAAACACUGGUAAAAUAAUAAUAAAACCAUGCGCCUCGCCCUUCCUCCCGGAUCUCCCCGGUCGUAGGAAGAAAACAUCACCAUCACCGCCGAAAAGCAUCGAAAUGAGACAUUUCAAUUCUAAUUUUAGUUGACACUAUGCCAAAGUACCAACCGACUCUUCCCCAUCCGAGAAACGUUCCGUUGAUGGAAGCAGAGAAAAAGAGCGAAAGAGCCAGUAGGUCACUUUUGGCUUAGGCGAUCGCUUGCCCCGCGGGACGGGAAGGAAAUAAUAAUUUUCCACUUUAAGCGAUCAUUCCGCGAUUUCGAUCAUUAUGAUGGUGUUUGCACCGCUCGGUUGCAACGGGCAGGAGCGAGGGUUGAUUUAUUGCUGGCAAAUAUUUUCAUUGACAAAUAAGCCAACUUAUGGACGAGCUGCAGUGUGUGAUUCGUUAAAAAUCGUGGCGCGCGUGUAUGUGAGAGAGAGAGUGUGUGUGUUUGUGAAUCACAUAAUGAGGUUUAUUAUUGGCGUUUUUGAGUGAGGAAUUAUUUUUAUUAAGCUUAACAAGCGUGUUGCAUUCCACUGGAGGUAAACAGCGUGUUUUUGGCUCGUGGUAGAAGAUGCUGCCGGUGAUCGUUAACUUUGUUUCGAUGGCAAAACGGCAAACCAUCUGGAUUGGAGAGUGAUGUGGGAAGGGAAAUGGCACUGUUUUUUGUCAUCCUUCGCAUGAAGGAUUGGUAAUAAUGAUCACCUACAGCAAUACAUACUAAUUCAGAACCAUUUAAUGAGUAAUUAAACAGAUAUAUUUUAAAAAAUUGCGAAUGUUUGCUUUACUAUUGAUUGCAAAAUAUCUCCUCCAAUGACUCUUUAUGGAUGUUUAAUCCUUGUUCUAUUGGAACCAAUUUCAACAGAACACAAAGUCGUAUUAUUACUAAAUAAAAUUUUCUUUAGUUUUAUAUUAAUAAUAAUAAUAAAAGACUGAUUUAUUCUAAAAGAUAUUUUUUUGCAAACAAACGACAUGGGCAAGAUUUACAGGGUUGUCCAGGGGUUCUUAUAGUUGUGGGACACUUCAUAGAUUCUUUCUUAUUAGAACUUCAUAUGAUGGAAAUUGGACUCUAUGGCAUCGUUUUUGGACAGACUUCUUGGAAAUUCGUAUUGGAUUUGUCCAACUAGUGUGCUAUAGAGUCCAAUUCACAUUACAUUAAGUUCUUUUCACGUAAGAAGGAGUCAAUAAAGUGUCCCACAGCUAUGAGUACUCCUGGACAACCUGUAUAUCAAACAUAUUAUACUUUGCCUCAGUGUAGUGCAUUAAUACUAUCCAUAUUUUAAGACAAAAUUAUCAACAAAACUUAGCACAAUUUCUCAGCUUCUCCAUGGAUCGAUGAAGCCCUUUUCUUUUCUUAUGAAUGAACGCCCCACGUCAUCCAUUCAAAAAUCUACCCAUCUUUACCCGAUCAUCAACGUGCCGAUUGCAGCAAGCAAGCACCGUACCGCGCAUUUUUGCGAUCGUUUUCUACUCACUCUUUUCGCUUUCAUAUCUCCCCAGCACGAGGAUGAAAAAUGUGCAUCAUAUUGUGACGAUUUGUGAGCUUCUUCGCCUGAUCCGACCGUUGCCGGCAGCAAAUUAAUCAAUCAAGCGGGCGGCGGCUUUACUUUCCACUCAAAAAACUCAAUACCAAAUCGAUCAAGCGCAGCACGACCGAGGCCGGCGUUGGUCGGUUGGUUUGAGUAAUUGCACCGCCAGCUGGAUGGAACGGCUAGCUCUGCGGCUCUCCGAAGUGCGGUCUCCAUAGAAACAGCUAGCCGCCUGUUGGUCGGGACUAAUAUUUCAGCAUAAAGUUACGAGCGAUGGGUACGCCUGGUUGUUGGUAGAAUUGGAGUAAAGCGCGCGCCCGAGCGCCCACGUGCCCGAGAAGCACCUGGAGCGUACAUUAUAAAUGCCGGCUUUGGAACGUAUGAAAAAAAAAAAAAACAGAAAAAAUGACUUGCCACCGAAAUCGUAAACAUUUCAAACACCUUUCUCGUUUCUGUGUUUGUGACGAAUGUUUAUGAACAUGUCCGCCCAAUCAGUCCGCAGGAAUAUUGUUGCCAUUAUUCUUCCUCCGCGAAACGGUUUUGGUUUCUCCCAUUUCCAUUCAAUUCUUUUUUACCCAUACAAACGGCUACUUUCCCUUCUGUCUCCUCCCUUCGCUGUCGUUCAUUGUCGUGUAAGAAAAUGGCGUCGAGAGUCGCACGCCACUACAGUUGGCCACAAACUCACAGUCGUAUUUGACGUCAAACGGUCACCCUAAUUGCGUUUGUGCCUGGUCUGGCUUGGCGGUUCGACCCAUCCAAGCGAACCCCUUUCGACGAAAGUCAAGCCGCACGAGGAAAGGAAACUCGAGAGGUAUGUACCACCAUGUACCACCCUCCGGUUCCCGUGGCAAACCGUGGUGGCCGGUGUGGCAGGAAAAUAAACGAGCUACAUUGUUUACCGAUCGAGUCUGCGGUAACGGCGUCGUAAAGUACAGGCCGUCGGCUUACGAUUCGCACCGCGGCCACUCCAGGGAUUGAACUGGGGGAGGGUUGUUUUUUUUUCUUGUGUGUGGUUCGGUUCGGAUUGGCAAUCGGCACGCGGAAAUGGCCUAUUUGCGAACGGGAUGGAAUUAGGGUGAGCAUUCACACAGAAGGUUGAUGGUGUUUUGGUGCUGAGUGAGAAAAGAAGGAUCUAAUCUGGGUGAAAGCAUUAGCAAUAUGUUGAAUUGUUUAAUUGAGCAUUGAUCGCAGUAUGAUCGCAAUGAAAGUAAGAUAAUAGUGUGAAAUUAGUGUACACUGUAACGUGAAACACUUGUUCCAAAAUUGAAAUAAAUGCCCUUUCGAUCUUCA